UCUUACGUCUUGCGACUAAUUAAAGUUUGUUGAAUAAUUAUUUAGUUAAAUAGUGAAUAAGUUAAAUCACGAUUUAUGAGGCCCGUCCGAUUGAAAGGCGAUACGGGUCGUGCGAAGAAUAAGUAACCUAAAAUCGCUUCUAAAUGGGAUUUCCAAGCGAGUUUUCGUCAAGGCCACGACCGGCUCGAUACAUCUACCAUCUGCGGCUGCUGCGGGUGGAGCAUACAACCUGCAGUGGAUGUCCAGCAUGUUACAGUAGCUGCUGUAGUAAAUAGAAUCUUUGGCUUUGCAUCGGACAGUUUGGCGUUGCAGCAGCACCCCGUUAUUUAUCCAGGUGAAAGCUCACAUAAACUGUUGCGCCGCGAAUGAGUUGCUCACUUUUAAACAAACGGUGCAGUCUGGACCGAUUCUUCGAUGUGAAAAAACAAGAGGAGUUAGCCUGCCUCUCCUUAUGGGAAUGGGACUGCAGUGCUAAACUCCCGGAAAUAAACCGAAAAAAGCGACUGACAUAUCUUGGUUUAGUAGGCUAUGGUAUGGCCGGAAUCUACGUUGACGAUGCGUAUUCUAGCGAAAUUUAUCGGAAACAUUAUUUCAAAACCGUUUGGCAAAGACAUCUCUCGGAAUAGUAGAAACUAGGAUAUGACCGGUAGCGCAAACUCUGUUGAGAACCGGGCGAGCAUACGAAAAAUAAAUGGGAACAGUGACAUCUGGAUCGCAAGAGUAAGCCAUCAGCAGGGUCUAUACGAUCGUACACGGCCAAUACAUCAACCACCACCAGCUAAAUGGAUUCGGCAUUCUCCAACCUACGAGCGAGGGGCGGAUCACUCACGCAUUUUCGAAG